rnacentral:rRNA from 1 species
GAUCAUGGCUCAGGAUGAACGCUAGCUACAGGCUUAACACAUGCAAGUCGAGCGAGGCACUUAGGAAAGAUUCUUCGGAUGAUUUCCUAAGUGACUGAGCGGCGGACGGGUGAGUAACGCGUGGGUAACCUGCCUCAUACAGGGGGAUAACAGUUAGAAAUGACUGCUAAUACCGCAUAAGGCCACAGCACCGCAUGGUGCAGGGGUAAAAACUCCGGUGGUAUGAGAUGGACCCGCG